AAAAUGAGCCCGUUCAUAUAGAUAAAUGCGGAUGUAGGCCCUAAGAAAAUUAGCGUACAGCGAACAUUGUCUAAAUCGGGACAUGGCUGCUAUCCAUGUCUCAAUUGCGUCAACUGUCGCUAUAUAUGCAAAGCUAGAUCCUUCAUACAUCCCUCUACACAUAAAGAAUAUCCCAUCAAGUUCCAUUUAAAUUGUUCAUCUUCUUAUGUAAUAUAUGUGCUAGCAUGCCCGUGUAACCUAAUAUAUAUUGGGGAAACGUCCACAGAAUUAAAACUAAGACUGAACAAUCACAGGAAUUCAAUAAGAAAAAAACGUGCUGAUCUUCCGGUCUCCAGGCAUUUUGGAUCCCUUGGGCACACUGAGCGGGAUCUAAGAUGCUGGAUACUGGACCAUGUCGAACUUCCUAGGAGAGGUGGAGACCGUCUAGCUAUUCUCAAGAAAAGGGAAUUGCGGUGGAUUUAUGAUUUAGAUAGCCUGCACCCCAGAGGAUUAAAUGUAGAGUUCAGAUAGGUGCCUAGUGAUCUGUUGCUUGCCCCCUUUUUCCAUGCAUU